rnacentral:lncRNA from 1 species
CUUAAGGGUGUGAAAGGAAGAGAGAAAGUUUCUUUCUUAUGCGUGAAAAAUUAAGAAGAAAGGGUUCUUCUCUUGAUCUCUAUUGUAGAGAUCAGAUGUAUGGAUCCAGAAAGAAAAGGAGAGGAUCUCCUUAUUCUUCAUCUUUAUUAUGUUCCUCUUAGAUCAGCCAAAGGAUAGUAUCUUCACAAGCUAGCACUCCC